rfam:Brassica napus, WGS project CCCW01000000 data, contig: 6198
GGAAUAUAAGAACCCGUCUCUUAAAUUUUAACUAAAAAAUCUAAGAACCGGCUCUUAAAUAAGAGUUUUAAGAAUCAGUUCUUAACUUUUUUAUUCUUAAAACAUUUUUAGUUAAAAGUUAAGAUACGGGUUCUUAUAUUCC